rnacentral:lncRNA from 1 species
GACUCCAAGGCUAAGGCUGGAGGGACGCAGCUACCGGCUGAGGGAGGCCAGGAACUGUCUAGCCUACCCUCUUCCCAGACAAAUACACAUGGUUGAGCAUAAGGAAUAGAUCAGGGCUCUUUACAAAUCAAGGUGUUUGAGCUCAAGAGCUGCUGUUUAUUGUAAACCCCAUGGAAUAAUGUGACUUACUAUUAAUCUUAUAAGCUCAUUCUCUAUGCAGUCACCAAAUUCCCAGUUGCUUUGGUAAAAACAGUAUUUCCUUUCCAGUGACUGCUUUUUUUUUAUUUGUUUGUUUGUUUUGUGUUGUGUUGUUGUUUUUUCAAGACAGGUUUCAGGCUGGCCUUGAACUUACAGGGAUUCACCUGCCUCUGCCUCCCAGAUGCUGAGAUUAAAGGCAUGUGCCAUCACCACCUGAACAACAGCAGCUUUCUAAGGAACCAGUAAGGCACUACAGACUUUUCAUAUAACAUCACCUUCAUUCUCUCACAACUAAUUCUACAAAACAGAUGUUAUACGACCUCGUUCGCUGAAGUCAAAGAUGCAGAGGGGCCAAGGUGUGGGCUCCGGACCUCACACCAGUGUGGCAGAUUCAACAAGCCCAGAAUAAGCCUCUUCCUUUGCUCACAAUAAGGUUUAUUAUAGAAGCAACAACUUCUGCAUACCAGAGGUGAGAGAUGCAGCAAUCCUCUCCGUGCUCAUGAAGCUUAAAAUUUGGGGGAGAAAGUAGAGAAAAGUUAAGCCAACUGCCUCUUCAUUCCUCAGUCACACUCCUCCUCUGACCCUGCUCCAGGAGGCUCAUCUUGUCAGACUUCACACUGAAUGAGCGCUGAGGAUGCUGUAGAGUAUGAGCUGUGUGCAGGUAAGAGGGGUAAAUGGCUUUCCUGUG